rnacentral:rRNA from 1 species
AGUGAACGCUGGCGGUAGGCCUAACACAUGCAAGUCGAACGGCAGCACAGUAAGAGCUUGCUCUUACGGGUGGCGAGUGGCGGACGGGUGAGGAAUACAUCGGAAUCUACUUUUUCGUGGGGGAUAACGUAGGGAAACUUACGCUAAUACCGCAUACGACCUACGGGUGAAAGCAGGGGAUCUUCGGACCUUGCGCGAUUGAAUGAGCCGAUGUCGGAUUAGCUAGUUGGCGGGGUAAAGGCCCACCAAGGCGACGAUCCGUAGCUGGUCUGAGAGGAUGAUCAGCCACACUGGAACUGAGACACGGUCCAGACUCCUACGGGAGGCAGCAGUGGGGAAUAUUGGACAAUGGGCGCAAGCCUGAUCCAGCCAUACCGCGUGGGUGAAGAAGGCCUUCGGGUUGUAAAGCCCUUUUGUUGGGAAAGAAAAGCAGCAGGUUAAUACCCCGCUGUUCGGACGGUACCCAAAGAAUAAGCACCGGCGAACUUCGU